rnacentral:rRNA from 1 species
GACGAACGCUGGCGGCGUGCUUAACACAUGCAAGUGGAGCGACGAACCGGGGCUUGCCCCGGGGCAGAGCCGCGAACGGGUGAGUAACACGUGGGUAACCCACCCCGAUGACCGGGACAACCCGAGGAAACUCGGGCUAAUACCGGAUGUGCUCCUUGACCUCGAGGUCAAGGCGUAAAGAUAGCUUCGGCCUUCGCAUCGGGACGGGCCCGCGGCCCAUUAGCUUGUUGGUGGGGUAAAGGCCUACCAAGGCGACGANGGGUAGGCUGGUCUGAGAGGACGAUCAGCCACACUGGGACUGAGACACGGCCCAGACUCCUACGGGAGGCAGCAGUGGGGAAUCUUGCGCAAUGCGCGAAAGCGUGACGCAGCAACGCCGCGUGGGGAAGACGGCCUCGGUU